ACUGCAUCAAAAAAAGAAGACAUUGUGAUGCUGACAGGUGAAGUAGAACUGAGAAUGGUAACGCACCGGGUUACAUGUGUAACGGAGUGAUACAUAAACUUAAUUACAUUUUGACGGAAGUGACGCAACAAAACAGUUUGGCACCUGCUUCCUACCGUAGAGGUAGUCAGAGCUACGAGGAAUACAAAGUGAUACGAGACUGAAUGCGGCUCUGCUCCUGCCAAACCGUAUUCCAGGCAUCCAGGAAGUUCUCCACAUUUCGACGGCAUUUAGCCAUGCUGAGCUUUGGCUGAGAUGACACAAAAAAAAAAAGGAUCAUCAUGAAAACGCAGACGCCUAAUAGCUGCCUCACACUAAAAGGUACAAUAAAUCAAAGUGCGCUACCACUGCAGGCGAAGGUACGUGAAUGCUGGCCACAGAGCGAGGACAAAUGUGAUUGGCUAAAUGACAAAGGACCACGCCAUCCAUCAGAGCGGCUCCGACAUCGUCUGGAAGCAACACUUUCAGUCUGGAUUCGAUGUU